rnacentral:rRNA from 1 species
CGCAUGGUUCAGACAUAAAAGGUGGCUUCGGCUACCACUUACAGAUGGACCCGCGGCGCAUUAGCUAGUUGGUGAGGUAACGGCUCACCAAGGCGACGAUGCUUAGCCGACCUGAGAGGGUGAUCGGCCACACUGGGACUGAGACACGGCCCAGACUCUUACGGGAGGCAGCAGUAGGGAAUCUUCCGCAAUGGACGAAAGUCUGACGGAGCAACGCCGCGUGAGUGAUGAAGGUUUUCGGAUCGUAAAGCUCUGUUGUUAGGGAAGAACAAGUGCCGUUCAAAUAGGGCGGCACCUUGACGGUACCUAACCAGGAAGCCACGGCUAAGUACGUGCCAGCAGCCGCGGUAAUACGUAGGUGCCAAGCGUUGUCCGGAAUUAUUGGGCGUAAAGGGCUCGCAGGCGGUUUCUUAAGUCUGAUGUGAAAAGCCCCCCCGGCUCAACCGGGGAGGGUCAUUGGAAACUGGGGGAACUUGAGUGCAGAAGAGGAGAGUGGAAUUCCACGUGUAGCGGUGAAAUGCGUAGAGAUGUGGAGGAACACCAGUGGCGAAGGCGACUCUCUGGUCUGUAACUGA